rnacentral:lncRNA from 1 species
UUUUUUCAAGACCACCUCUUUGCCGAUUCUAACAGGCAUUGUUACUUCAUUUUUCACUUUAGUGUAAAUUUCGGGCUUUUAUCGUAUUCAAUCCCUUGAUACCUCAAAAGUGCGAAAGUCGUUGUUAUCUUCCUUUCGGAUCUCCAAUUGAUUGAAUAGAGGCAGCUGUAAUACCCCAAAAUUUACCCUUCAUUUUUUUUCCUGGAAGCAUGGG